AACAGGCAAAAAUGAAUAUGCUCUUUCUUGUGCUGAAAACUACAGACCAACCUCUUCAGUAGAAUCCACUUCUCAAUCCCCCAUUGUACGGAACACAGAUCGCCGGCGACCGCCCCGAUUUACUUUCCUUUAUUCACAUAAUGUCAUGGCUGGCCCGAUCCAUAGCAAACUCUCUCAACUUCGACGACCACGGUGACGGUGACGAUGCUACGCAGCCCGAAGCUAAGCUGCCCGAUAACUCUGGAUCCGAUGACGACGAGGUGUCCUCACCUACGACGCCGUCUCGCGGCGUCAAAGAGGAUCUCUCGGAGAUCAGUAAAACCCUAACCCGCCAGUUUUGGGGCGUAGCUUCAUUCCUGGCCCCUCCUCCGCAAGCUGAGGUGAAGACCGGCGACGAUUUACUGGAUUCGGAGCAGGAUCCGAUGUUGAAGAUCCGAGAUGAUUUCGCGGAGAUUGGGGGCAAGUUUAAAAGCGGGAUUUCGCGGCUGUCUAACAAUAUCAAUGUUUCUGAAAUCACUAAAUUGGCUUCGAAUUUCCUGCAAUUGGAUGAUGACAGAGAGAAGCAGGAUGUCAUCGGUUCCUUGGGGGAUGGAACUGCUAUUGGUGUUACUGAGGAAGUGGUGGCUUUCGCGCGUGACGUCGCUAUGCAUCCGGAGACUUGGAUGGAUUUCCCAUUACCUCCAGAUGAUGAAGAUGAUGACGAUUUUGAUUUGUCGGAUGCCCAACAAGAACAUGCUUUAGCAGUUGAACGAUUUGCCCCAAGGUUAGCUGCACUAAGGAUUGAGCUCUGCCCUGGAUACAUGACUGAAAGCUGUUUUUGGAAGAUUUACUUUGUGCUUGUUCACCCUAGACUGGAUAAGAAUGAUGCUGUACUUCUGUCAACACCACAGAUUCUGGAAGCCAGGGCCCUAUUGACACCUGAAUUGAAGAAGCGAAAUUCAACUAAUACUGAAAACUUACCUGGGAAAAUUUCUUUGAAGCCAGAGGAGACUGAUUCUUCUCACUAUGAAGAGCCCCUUUUGGCGCCAUUCCCUGAAACUGUAUCUGAAAAGGCAUCUAUAGUGAACACUGGGACUUCAACAGCUCCAGAUACUAAAACAGUUGCAUCCUCAGCAGGCAGUACUCGAAUCCAAAUUGUUGACAAGACUGUCACUGAAGAAAAGCCUGACGAGCAAGGUAAAGAUCAGCAUUCGGGAUCUAGCUCUUUGGAUGUUUCCGGAGACAAGGAUGAAGAUGAUGCAGAUGACUGGUUAAAGGUGUUGGAAAUCGAGAUCGGAGCAAAGUCGAAACGGAAACAAGAACACGAGAGAUUUAACGUGGUUCGGCGUAAGCCUACAUCCACGGGAGAGUAACGGAUCGAUUUACUUCAAUCACGAUCAAGAACUACAAUCAUACAACAAGAUCACACACUCAAGAACAAGCUACUCUCUCUUCGCAUAUGAACUCACAUCAAACCGAAGACUAUACAAGCUAGUUCCUCACAAAGAUAGUGUGUAUCUCUCUCUCUAGCUAUUGAUUGUUGUUAUGAUCUCUCAGCUGAUUUCUCUCUCUCGUUUCUUCUCUCAGAACCUGGAGAUAUUCUCUCACUGAUCUAUGCGGCUUGCAUGAGCAUUUAUAGGAAUCGCAUCACCUCAUGCAGUUGCAACUGCCGCUGUAGCCGUUGCACAACUAAAUCUUGAACUCUUUCUUCUUGAUCAUGUGUUGCACACUCCACGCUCGGUUCCGAUGUACCAUCACUCGUUGUUAUCAUCACAAAAUUCCUAACAAUCCUCCACCUUUUGAGAUGAUACAACACAUCUUUCGAUCACUUUGUUCUUUGUUGAUCUCAUGUCCGAGUAGCGCCAAUCUUGACUAUUAUUGUCAGCAUCCUGACUCCGAGAAUCAUACCCAGAUCCUCCUUUAUCACUUCCUUGAUCAGCCACAACGCCCCCACCGGACGAUCGCCUCCACCGGACGACAAAACCUCCACCUAAUCUGAAUCUUCCCCGAUUCAGAAUUGGAGUUGCUGAUCCCUAGAGAUAUCACACAUCUCUCAUAAGUGAUAACCAAAUUUCUGUCAAGAUUAUGCCACCUUCACCGCUUAGGAUGACACGGCUGUUGCACCUCUCUCACGGACAAUUCAACAAACAAGGCUUCACAGCCUCCUCCAGAUCGCAUUCCCGCGAGCAUCCAUUGAUCGGCGUGUUGUACGUGAUGAUGUCUGGCCUUAUCCCCGAUCUCCUCACUUCACCAAGAAGCUCAACCUCGGAGACUCAACAACUGAAAACAGCUCACUGACUAAAAACUUCUCUCAGACAUUUCGUCGAACACGCUCUGCUCGAAUUGCCGAGCUUGGUGCCGAACUGCCGAACUGCCGAGCUUAGUACCGAACUGCCGAGCUUGGUACCGAACUGCCGAGCUUGGUGCCGAACUGCUGAGCUUGGUGCCGAACUGCUGAGCUUGGUGCCGAACUGCCGAGCUUGGUGUCAGCCACUAAAUCCAACGCCCUUCUCGGCAUCCAAGCAAUCAGUGUUCCAGCAUACCUUUUCUCUCACAGGCAUUCGUCAAUUUACUUCUCUUUCAGGCAUUUCGUCGAACACCAUCUUUGCACCAUCCAAGAUGUCUCACCAUCGUCGUCUGCCUCUGAAGCAUCAUCUCAUCAAGGCUCUCAUGGCCUUCAAUAUCCAUCAACAUCAUCAUAGGCUUCGGAAAUGAGUUGCAUAUCGCCAUACUCGAUCCCAUUAUGGAUCAUCAGUAUGAGCAACGAUCAUUGAGCGAGCUACACCAACGAUCACCAAGAACUUCCCUCUUUCUUGAUCGAUGAACCUUCGAGCUCUCUCCACAAUGAAUCGCCAAUGCAGAAAACUUCUCAACAAUAUCGCUCAAAGCUGCACGAACCAAAACUGACCACACCGUCGUCCCCUUCAACUGACGUGAUCAAGAACUCAAUCUCCUUCUCCAAAACCGCUGCAUUCGAGACGCUACUUUCAGCAUCUCCCUUCGUUCUUCAUCUCCGACUUCUUCCAACGAUUCUCCUCCUUCCCACAGACGGCGCCACUUGUUGGGAAUCGAGAUCGGAGCAAAGUCGAAACGGAAACAAGAACACGAGAGAUUUAACGUGGUUCGGCGUAAGCCUACAUCCACGGGAGAGUAACGGAUCGAUUUACUUCAAUCACGAUCAAGAACUACAAUCAUACAACAAGAUCACACACUCAAGAACAAGCUACUCUCUCUUCGCAUAUGAACUCACAUCAAACCGAAGACUAUACAAGCUAGUUCCUCACAAAGAUAAACCUGGAGAUAUUCUCUCACUGAUCUAUGCGGCUUGCAUGAGCAUUUAUAGGAAUCGCAUCACCUCAUGCAGUUGCAACUGCCGCUGUAGCCGUUGCACAACUAAAUCUUGAACUCUUUCUUCUUGAUCAUGUGUUGCACACUCCACGCUCGGUUCCGAUGUACCAUCACUCGUUGUUAUCAUCACAAAAUUCCUAACAAAAGGAAGAAACAGAAACUGGUGAUGCUGUGGGAAAGACUAUUCCCAUCGAGAAUGAUGACGACGUAUCAUUUAGUGAUCUUGAGGAUGACGAUGCAGAUGUCCCUACAAGUUACAGAAAGUCAAAUGAU